UCAAGCCUGAGAUAAUAACCUCCCACCAAUAAAAAAUAAAAAUACAAAAACUGCAUAAACAGUAGAAGUAAGUCAACAGACAGUGGAAGGUAAAUUUAAAAAGGAAGUAUGAUCUGGGGCUGGACUGAGACAAACAUUGGGUUAUAAAUAAGAAAAGCAACAGAUCAGUUUGGUGGUGACUUAUUAAGCUCAAACCUGCAGUCCUGGUUCUGGUUGGGUUUCAUUUUCCAAGCAGGGCUUAGACAAUGUCUAAAAUGUCCAAAGGAGAGCACUCAAAGGAGGAAGAAUAUUCAAUGCUUCUCUGAGGAGCAAGCUGUUGAAGAAGCUGAAGAUAUUCAGCCAAGGAAAGUUGAGCUCUUUCCUCACAUUGCCAAAUCAACCAUCAUGAUGAUAUUACUCUGUGUAAAGGAGGGAUGUCAAGACCAAAACACACCAAGAGCAUACAGUAACCCAAAUGGAUGUUUAUUGCCUAAUACCAGACAGCUUCAUUUCUUCUCACUUUUCCUGACUUCUAAACAAAAGUGAGAGAAUAUUGAAGUUGGAACGGACCUCUAAACCACCCAGUCCAUCCGCCGCUUUAUAGAUGAAGAAAACAAAAUCUGAGAGGAUAAGAGUCAUUGCCCAAGGAGAAUCCAGCCUCCUUCUCCAGCACUUUAUCACACAGCUUUCUAAUCUUCCUCACAUGGCACUGGUCUUUAGCAAAGCUCACAAAUAAGAUAAAAGAAAAUUCAAAAGGAGAAUCUAGAGAAUAAAAAAAAAACAAAAAAAACAUAAAGAAACUGGGAUACUGAUCUGAAGUUCACCCAUGCUCUUCAAGAAAAAUUAACAUAGGGAUCCCUGAGGGGCAUGGCCUUUGUUUUUCCUGUCGAAGCUUCAAGAUUAGUCAGUCCUGCUAGGACACAGCUGAGAAUAAUACUGAGUUAUGGUAAACCUCUUACAUGAUACCCAAACUCCUUUUUUUAAAAACCACUAUGAUGUAGGUUUGAGUCUGCGUUUAAAUAUUUUUAUUUUGUUUUCACUGUUUCUAUCUCCGAUUUAGAACUCAUUUUCUAAAUCAGUGUGAAUUUGUGUAUCAGGACCAAACAUAAAAUAGAGAGUCAUUUCAGAACAGCAAAGCCACCGGAGAAGUGCUAAUAAGAGCAGAAUCACAGCCAAAGUUGAAAGAAGUGCAUUAGAUCCAUUUUCUGCUUUCCUUUGGGUCCCACAAGUACAAUAGAGCAGAGGAGGCCACCUGGUGGUGAAAUGAACCAAUUAACCAUUUAAUGCUACAUUGAAGAACAAGGAAAACGGGCAGACUUUGGGUUGUUUUAAGAGGAAAACUAGAACCUUGGGCAAAAGAGUGGUAAUCAACAGGUAUUUUUGUGAUGCAGACAGAAAAUUGAACUGGGAAAUCAUUCAAGUCUGUAGAAUAAUGUAUAUUACUAAAGAGUUGUCGUAAUAGUUAUUUAUAUACAAGGAAAUGGUGAACUUUUCUACAGUCAGAUAGUUUAGGCACGCUGGCCAUUUUGUCACUGUCAAAAUUACUCAGUUCUGUUAUGGAAGUAUAAAAACAGCCACAAACAAUACAUAAAUGAAUGUGCCUGCCUAUGUUCCAAUAAAACUUUAUUAAAACAAAACAAAACAAAACCAACAGGCCAUGGGUUGGAUUCGACCUUCCAGCUGCAGUUUGUUAACCCCCGAGUCUGUAUUAUAUAUUGAGCUACUUACCAAGCAAAAGGCUGAACCCCUUAUAUACAUUACUCAUGGAAUCCUGGCAACCUUUCAAAGCGGGGGUUUUCCCCACUUCACAGAUUUGAAAACUGCAGCUUAAAAAGUUUAAACAAUUUGAUGGAAAACAAUCUACACUCCUUGAUCCCAGGGUCCUCGGAUCGAGUCCCACAUCAGGCUCCUUGCUCGGCAGGGAGCCUGCUUCUCCCUCUGAC